rnacentral:rRNA from 1 species
UACAGAGGGGGCAAGCGUUGUUCGGAAUUACUGGGCGUAAAGGGCGCGUAGGCGGCCUGCUAAGUCGAACGUGAAAUCCCUGGGCUCAACCCAGGAACUGCGUCCGAUACUGGUUGGCUUGAAUCCGGGAGAGGGAUGUGGAAUUCCAGGUGUAGCGGUGAAAUGCGUAGAUAUCGUAAGGAAGACCAGUGGCGAAGGCGAAUCUCUGGACAGUUACUGACACUGAGGCACGAAGGCCAGGGGAGCAAACGGG